GUACUCGCCCAGGCAGUAUUGUAUUAUACAAUUCGAACGAUAAAGAGACGAUUAGCAUGGCUUCUGUGCAAGAAUGACCAGCAAAAUGACAAAGCGUUCUGGGUUUUA